AAGGCUAGGUUCCUUAGUAAGGGCGUGGGGAGAGGUGGGACUACCCCAUAGGAUCCUGUGGGGAGGCCAGGCCCCUCCAUAAGUGUUAGAGAUGAGGAUCGGCCCUCCUACAAGGGCCUGUGGGGGAACAGAAUCCUUUAUAAAGUGCUGUGUGGAGGCCAAGCUCCUCUACAGGAGCCUGGGAGGGAGGUAAGUUCCCCUACUGAGGACUGGAUGGGAGGCCAGGAUCAUCUCUAGGAGCUGGGAAAGAAUCCAAACUUCUCUAUAAGGGAGUGGCCAGGCUCCCCCUAAAAGGACUGGCAGGGAGGCAAGGCUCAUCUAGAGGAGCCUAGGAGGAGGCCAGCUUCGCCUAUAGGGACCUGUGGAGGGGCCAGGCUCUCCUGUAACGCCCCCGGUGCGGAGGGGGGUGGGGAGGGAGUCUCCUCCAUAAGAGUCUGGGACAAGGCCAGGUGUCUCUAUAAGGGUCUGUGGGGAGGUCCAGCUGCCGCUAUAGGGAAUGCGAGGUAAGAAACCAAGGCCCUACUACUGAGGCUGGGGAGUGUGAGUUCUCUUCUUUCUACUUGUGCCGUAGCAGGACCCGGAAGUGCCACCGGAGCGGGGCAGCCUGUCUGCAGUGCCUGAGGCAUCUCCAGCCGCAGCGGGGCUCCAGUCUCAGCCUGGGGGACCAGGCGUCACUGACCCUUUUGAUCCCUACUCAGGUGCUCAGCUGCCCCAGGGAGCCACCGCUGGAGCCGAGGCCAUGCCCCACUGGAGCAGAAGUGAUUGCAGCCAGUCCCCAGAUGGAGGAGUCCCUGCAGAGCUCAGUCCCUCCUUGCAGAAGACAUUGUAGUCAAAGACCUAAUGAUCUUGAACAGCUGGGAGUAACUGGAAACACCACCACACUGGCCAGACCAACAGUGUCUUCUGCCUGGAGAACCUACAAACAGGAUCAACAGCAUCUAGUGAUGUAGCCGUCAACUGUGGCAUAAUCAGGCUCACCUGAAA